rnacentral:lncRNA from 1 species
CAGGGGAUAAGCAGGGGAUGGAUGGAUGGAUUGGAGGGUACAGGGAGGAGAGGGGGGGUCAGAAAUGGGGCACGGAGGGGAGAAAACGGACAAAAAGGGACCAUAAAGGGACACAGGGAACAUGGGGCAGAAAUGGGGCAGAGAGGGGAUGAAUGGGAAUCAAUGGGGCUCCAUGGGGGCACUUCGGGGUCACUUUGGAGAUGCUAUAGGGACACUUAGGGGACACUUAGGGGACAUGGGGGGUCCUGGAUGGACCAAGAUGAGGCAGAGAGAUGAUGAAUGGGAAUCUAUGGGGACACAAUGGCGACAAUGGGAUCAAUGGGGACCAACGGGACUCAAUAGGAAUCAAUGGGGACCAAUAGUAGCCAAUGGGGAUCAAUAGGAACUAAUGGACACGAAUCGGGACUCAAUGGAAACCAACUGAAUGGGAAUGAAUGGGAAUUAAUUGGACUCCAUAUGGAUCAAUGGGGACUCUAUAGAAACCAAUGGAAACCAAUGGAAACCGAUGGGGAUGAAUGGGGACUCAAUGUAAACCAAUGGGAUUCCAUAGGAAUCAAUGGGGACCAAUGGAAACCAAUGGGAACCAAUGGGGAUGAAUGGGGACUCAAUGGAAACCAGUGGGACUCCAUAGGAAUCAGUGGGGACUCAAUGGGACCAAUGGGGUGAAUGGGGACUCAAUAGGAAUCAAUGGGAACCAAUGGGGAUCAAUGGGACCCCAUAGGAAUGAAUGGGGACCAAUGGAAACCAAUGGGAACCAAUGGAAACCAAUGGGACUCCAUAGAAAUCAAUGGGGACUCAAUGGGAACCAAUGGGACUCCACAGGGAUCAAUGGGGACUCAAUGGGGAUCAAUGGGGACUCAAUGGAAACCAAUGGGACUCCAUAGGAAUCAAUGGGGAUCAAUGGGGACUCAAUGGAAACCAAUGGGAUUCCAUAGGAAUCAAUGGAAACCAAUGGGACUCCAUAGGAAUCAAUGGGGAUGAAUGGGGACCAAUGGAAACCAAUGGGAACCAAUGGGGAUCAAUGGGACUCAAUAGGAAUGAAUGGGGACUCAAUGGAAACCAAUGGAAACCAAUGGGGAUCAAUGGGGACCAAUGGGACUCCAUAGGGAUCAAUGGGGACUCAAUGGGAACCAAUGGGACUCCAUAGGAAUCAAUGGGGACUCAAUGGGGACUCAAUGGGGACUCAAUGGGGACUAAUGGGACUCCAUAGGAAUCAGUGCGGACCAAUGGGACCAAUGGGGUGAAUGGGGACUCAAUAGGAAUCAAUGAGAACCAAUG